rnacentral:rRNA from 1 species
AUUGAACGCUGGCGGCAGGCCUAACACAUGCAAGUCGAACGAGUGGCGGACGGGUGAGUAAUGUCUGGGAAUCUGCCUUAUGGAGGGGGAUAACUACUGGAAACUGUAGCUAAUACCGCAUACCAUAAGAUGAGCCCAAGUGGGAUUAGCUAGUUGGUGGGGUAACGGCUCACCAAGCCGACGAUCCCUAGCUGGUCUGAGAGGAUGACCAGCCACACUGGGACUGAGACACGGCCCAGACUCCUACGGGAGGCAGCAGUGGGGAAUAUUGCGCAAUGGGGGCAAGCCUGACGCAGCCAUGCCGCGUGAAUGAAGAAGGCCUUCGGGUUGUAAAGUACUUUCAGCGGGGAGGCGUUACCUGCAGAAGAAGCACCGGCUAACUACGUGCCAGCAGCCGCGGUAAUAC